rnacentral:tRNA from 1 species
GCCUUCGUUGUUCAAUGGUCAGCACACUCGGCGCGUAUUCGAGAGGUCCGUGGUUCGAGUCUCGGCGAGGGCC